ACGUCUACAUUAGAUACCCGGGUAGUCCCAGCCGUAAACUAUGCGCGUUAGGUGUAUCGGUGACCACGAGUCACCGAGGUGCCGAAGGGAAACCGUGAAACGUGCCGCCUGGGAAGUACGGCCGCAAGGCUGAAACUUAAAGGAAUUGGCGGGGAGCACAACAACGGGUGGAGCCUGCGGUUUAAUUGGACUCAACGCCGGGAAGCUCACCGGAUAAGACAGCGGAAUGAUUGCCGGGCUGAAGACUCUGCAUGACUAGCUG
rnacentral:rRNA from 1 species